UUCUUGACCCAUUUUGUAGUUCACUCUCGCCUUCUAUGGUUGAAGCUCUUGUAUGUACUCAAAAUUGGCUUCGAAGCAACCUUCCAAUUUCUCUUCGAAAGGCGAUGGAUGAUGUGGAGGAAUUUGAGCAAUAUGACUCGGGUACUUUGGAGUCAAGCUCAUCUUCAACUUCAACCUAUAAUGUUGAUGCUAUAAUUGAUCUCUAAUAUCCAUUUGAUCAUUGGGUUCAUCAACCAAAUGCAUGGAAUUGGAAUUGGAAUUCGAAUUUGUGAAAGUUGGAUUGGAUGCGAAUGAAGUUUGACAACAUGUGAAUGAAGGAUUGGAAUUGAAAUGUUUUUAUUUUAUUUCAUGGGUUUGUAUUGAAUGAAGUUUAACAACAAUUUUUUUUUU